rnacentral:rRNA from 1 species
CUACGGGAGGCAGCAGUAGGGAAUCUUCCGCAAUGGACGAAAGUCUGACGGAGCAACGCCGCGUGAGUGAUGAAGGUUUUCGGAUCGUAAAGCUCUGUUGUUAGGGAAGAACAAGUGCCGUUCAAAUAGGGCGGCACCUUGACGGUACCUAACCAGAAAGCCACGGCUAACUACGUGCCAGCAGCCGCGGUAAUA